GUUCUAAAUAGAAAAAUUGAAAAUGGGGUUUCAAGAUUUUGGUAAGGGUUCCCCUUUGAGGAAUGAUUUGAAAAGCUGAAGAGCAGCUCUUGGUUUGAACAAUGGAACUUCAUGCCCUGCUCCUCUCACUGUUGCAAAGAUGAUUUUUGUUUUACAAUAUAAACAAAGAAAAAUACCCGGUGAGGACGGUGAGGCAGUCGCAUAGUACUCUGGCGGGUUGCAAGGCUACCAUCCGAGUUGUUGCAAGGAGGUGUUAAUAAGCUCAUGGUACGUCUUAUCCGAGAUCAUGGCGUGGCUCCACCACGGAUACAAAGUGAAUGAUGAUUGAAGCAACAAGACAAGAGGAAAGGACAACAACACAAAAGGCAAGGAGAGAAAGUUACCAUGAUUCCCUUGAGAUGGAUGGGGUGGGAGGACUUUGCAUUGUAGGCCAAGAUUUCUCU